rnacentral:snoRNA from 1 species
ACACCAGCUAAUUUGCUUAUCUGAGUGGUUCUGCAGAAAUUUACCAUGACUGGUAGUAAAGCUGCCAUGUCACAAGUCCUAAUACACAUCAGCCUUUAUGUUCUUGAGACUGGCUUUAGUA